rnacentral:rRNA from 1 species
UACGGGGGGAGCAAGCGUUGUUCGGAUUUACUGGGCGUAAAGGGCGCGUAGGCGGCCAGUACAGGUCAGUUGUGAAAUCUCCGAGCUUAACUCGGAAAGGUCAACUGAUACUGUGCGGCUAGAGUGCGGAAGGGGCAACUGGAAUUCUUGGUGUAGCGGUGAAAUGCGUAGAUAUCAAGAGGAACACCUGCGGCGAAGGCGGGUUGCUGGGCCGACACUGACGCUGAGGCGCGAAAGCCAGGGGAGCGAACGGG